rnacentral:rRNA from 1 species
UACGUAGGGUCCGAGCGUUGUCCGGAAUUACUGGGCGUAAAGAGCUCGUAGGUGGUUUGUCGCGUUGUUCGUGAAAACUCACAGCUCAACUGUGGGCGUGCGGGCGAUACGGGCAGACUAGAGUACUGCAGGGGAGACUGGAAUUCCUGGUGUAGCGGUGAAAUGCGCAGAUAUCAGGAGGAACACCGGUGGCGAAGGCGGGUCUCUGGGCCGCAACUGACGCUGAGGAGCGAAAGCAUGGGGAGCGAACAGG